CCAGUUCGGACGACCUGGCUCCCGCCGGCGAAGCAUGACGUGAAGAUUAAUGUUGACGGUGGCCUUUCCAAGGUUGGAGACCGAGGAGCUUCGGCGGUGAUUUGCAGGGAUAAGCAUGGCAUGUUUCUUGGUGCUUCCGCGGUUAUUUUCGAGGGUUUGCUUGACCCAACUACACUCGAAGCUCAGGCGUGCAACGAGGCCCUUGCUCUUGCUGCGGACCUCCAUGCUCAAUCCGCGUGUGUUGCAUCGGACUGCCUCGAGGUGAUCACCUAUAUCCAUACUGGUGCCCCAUGUCGAUACUUUGCUAUCUGGGAGGAGAUCAAGCACAGGAUGCGUUCGAUCCAAGAUUUACAGUUUGUGCACGAGAAUAGAAAACAUAAUGAGGAAGCUCAUGCCUUAGCUAAGGCGGCUGCUUCUCUCCCUCCCGGGCGCCAUGUGUGGCUUACUACUCUGCCCGAUAUCAUUUGUAUCCCUAUGUGUUUGAACAUUCAAUAA
rnacentral:rRNA from 1 species